rnacentral:rRNA from 1 species
UCCUGGCUCAGAUUGAACGCUGGCGGCAGGCCUAACACUUGCAAGUCGAGCGGCAGCGGGAAAGUAGCUUGCUACUUUUGCCGGCGAGCGGCGGACGGGUGAGUAAUGCCUGGGGAUCUGCCCAGUCGAGGGGGAUAACUACUGGAAACGGUAGCUAAUACCGCAUACGCCCUACGGGGGAAAGCAGGGGACCUUCGGGCCUUGCGCGAUUGGAUGAACCCAGGUGGGAUUA